rnacentral:rRNA from 1 species
UACAGAGGGUGCAAGCGUUGUUCGGAAUUAUUGGGCGUAAAGCGCGUGUAGGCGGCUUUGCAAGUCGGGUGUGAAAGCCCUCAGCUCAACUGAGGAAGUGCGCCCGAAACUGCAGAGCUUGAGUGCCGGAGAGGGUGGCGGAAUUCCCCAAGUAGAGGUGAAAUUCGUAGAUAUGGGGAGGAACACCGGUGGCGAAGGCGGCCACCUGGACGGGUAACUGACGCUGGAGACGCGAAAGCGUGGGGAGCGAACAGG